rnacentral:miRNA from 1 species
CCAUAUGUCCCUCCAUAUACU